UACGGGGGGGGCAAGCGUUGUUCGGAAUUACUGGGCGUAAAGGGCUCGUAGGCGGCCAACUAAGUCAGACGUGAAAUCCCUCGGCUUAACCGGGGAACUGCGUCUGAUACUGGAUGGCUUGAGUUCGGGAGAGGAUGCGGAAUUCCAGGUGUAGCGGUGAAAUGCGCAGAUAUCAGGAGGAACACCGGUGGCGAAGGCGGGUCUCUGGGCCGAUACUGACGCUGAGAAGCGAAAGCGUGGGGAGCGAACAGG
rnacentral:rRNA from 1 species